UAGCAUAUCAAUAAGCGGAGGAAAAGAAACCAACAGGGAUUGCCCUAGUAACGGCGAGUGAAGCGGCAACAGCUCAAAUUUGAAAUCUGGCUCUCGGGCCCGAGUUGUAAUUUGUAGAGGAUACUUUUGAUGCGGUGCCUUCCGAGUUCCCUGGAACGGGACGCCAUAGAGGGUGAGAGCCCCGUCUGGUUGGAUGCCAAAUCUCUGUAAAGUUCCUUCGACGAGUCGAGUAGUUUGGGAAUGCUGCUCUAAAUGGGAGGUAUAUGUCUUCUAAAGCUAAAUACCGGCCAGAGACCGAUAGCGCACAAGUAGAGUGAUCGAAAGAUGAAAAGCACUUUGAAAAGAGAGUUAAAAAGUACGUGAAAUUGUUGAAAGGGAAGCGUUUAUGACCAGACUUGGGCUUGGUUAAUCAUCUGGGGUUCUCCCCAGUGCACUUUUCCAGUCCAGGCCAGCAUCAGUUUUCCCCGGGGGAUAAAGACUUCGGGAAUGUGGCUCUCUUCGGGGAGUGUUAUAGCCCGUUGUGUAAUACCCUGGGGGGGACUGAGGUUCGCGCAUCUGCAAGGAUGCUGGCGUAAUGGUCAUCAACGACCCGUCUUGAAACACGGACCAAGGAGUCGUCUUCGUAUGCGAGUGUUCGGGUGUCAAACCCCUACGCGUAAUGAAAGUGAACGCAGGUGAGAGCUUCGGCGCAUCAUCGACCGAUCCUGAUGUUCUCGGAUGGAUUUGAGUAAGAGCAUACGGGGCCGGACCCGAAAGAAGGUGAACUAUGCCUGUAUAGGGUGAAGCCAGAGGAAACUCUGGUGGAGGCUCGCAGCGGUUCUGACGUGCAAAUCGAUCGUCAAAUAUGGGCAUGGGGGCGAAAGACUAAUCGAACCUUCUAGUAGCUGGUUUCCGCCGAA
rnacentral:rRNA from 1 species